CUGUUGACAUUUUUGUAUUACCAUGACUUCCAAGGAAAGGAGCAGUAUUUCCAGGCAACUUCUGCUAUCCCUGUCUUGGAAUCCAGUCACCAUGUAAAAAAUGCCACUGCCCUGAGACCACCCACCAUGCUGUUAAGAAGCCCAAGCAAGUGAAGUCACCGUAUACUAGAAUGAAUACAGCUUGGAAUUCUGAACGUGUGAUGCUGGAGCCAGGACCAACUGCAAAGAUCCUUUGGCAUUGUGCCGUCGAGGAAACUGAGGUAUGCUGUUCUGAGGUAAAUUUAUAUGCCUCUUCAGAAGUCCUGGUGGGAUUGUGCACCAGCUGUCUGCAGUGAGGGUCAACUCAAUAAUAUGUCUUUACAAUCCCUUUUUCUCUGUCUCUAACUUCCUUCAGUGACCCCCUCACUCUGGCUCUCUGAAUAAAUUCCU